rnacentral:lncRNA from 1 species
UUACUUACUGAGCCGUGUAGCUCAUAUCCGUUCAUUUACAUUUUUCUUUCAGAUCCUCACCACUGAUAGGUGUCAGAGAUAUUUUAAUUUGGUAUCAGGGCUUCUUUUCUUUGGGGUAAAAUAAGUAUACUUUGUGUACAUAAACUAUAUAGAAGCUCUGUAUUUGGGUACUGACCAGCAUGUUGUACUAAGAAUGCUUUCAUAUAUAAAGGUUUGGUUGGUUUGACUACCCUGUUACCCAUGUAUGAGGCUUCGUGCUAUUGUGGGCGGUAGUCGGCAAUAGCACGGCCGUGUCACGAAUUCGGAUCCGGGGCGUGACAAAAAACACCAGAUACCUACCUAAUAUAUUGCUAUUCUGAAUUUGCUGGGCAUAUGGACUGUUGCUUGAUAAACUUGCAGUAAAACGUGUGUUUGAUGCAAAACUUAUUAUGAGAUUUUCUUAUGAUAGGACAAAAAGAAAGACUUGCAGUACAAUGUGUGCUUCACGCAAAACUUAUUAUGAGAUUUUCUGUUGAGAGAAAAAAAAAAGUGGCGGCCUCUUUUCACUCCAAGAUCUAGUCCUGAUGGGCCAAUGUGAGCAAAAGAUAA